UAGGCCUUAUUUUAUCAGAAUAAUUAGCUGUUGCCUAGUAGGUGUGAAUUAAUUCGCAGGCCUAG
rnacentral:tRNA from 1 species